ACCUGCUCGGGUCUGCUGCAGGGAUUUCGCCCGUCGGAUGUGGGCGCCCUCCAAGCACCUGGAUCCUGACUCUGCCGGUGCCCCUCCCUCCCCAGGGGCAGGCCCGCCCCCGCCGUGCAGGGGGAGGGCGGGACUCCCGGUUGCCAGGCAACCGCGUCAACAAGCCCAGGAGAGUCAGGGCUCAGUUGGAGGCUCAGACCCCGGAAGGCGGAAAGUAUGGGGUGGCCCCAGGUCUCCGCAUUUUCUCAGUGGACAGAGAACCAGCCGGUGGGCAGGAAGGGAAUUUCCUGAAACUCGGCGGAUCAGAAAUGUCUGGUUGACAGCAGGGAGCGGGCCGAGCAUGCAGUCGCCAGCAGAGAAGGAGGCCGGGCUCCGGGGCCCGCGGGAGCGAACCGGAAAGGGGUCCCUUGAGGAACGCGCCCGGGGGGCGCCCGCGGCGCAACCCCCCAAGCCAGGGUGGGCCCUGACGCUGGAGGGGCUGGCGGCCAUGAGCCCCGCGCAGCGUCACCGCCACCUGCUCUUCGGUGACCAGCUUGAGGACGUGGGCGCGGCCGCCUCUAUCUUCCCGCGCGAGUCAGUGGAGCUGGGGAGCCGUAUGCCCGACCCGCGUGCGUGGACGCAGUCACCGGAGCCGCCCGGCGUGCGCCAGGACCGGCUCCUCGGCGUCCUCAAGGCAGCCGAGGCCCGGGGGCGAAUCCGCGCCUUGCGGCUGCGCUACAUCCGCAUGCGGGCGGAGGAGAUCGCGCUCCUCACCUGGCAGCAGAAGUCCGCGCGCGCCGCCAUCCGGCUGGAGCUGUUCCUACCGCCGCAGCUGAAGCCCACGCGGAUCCCGGACCCCCUGGAUCGUCAAGAGAGAUCUGGAGGGUCUCACCCGGGCUGUGAGUGAACACAGUGAGUGUCCCAUAAGGGUAUGCUCACUCUGCAUCAGGCAAACACAAGAGGACAGAGGCACAAGACAGACACACAAAGCCCUGAGAAGACCAGCAAGAGGGUGGCCUCACAGGUGCCACCGCCUGGCGCACAGGGAGCACCCAGAUGAUCGCCGAAUGAAGAGCACAUACAAAAUCUCCACUUCC